AGUCGAGGGGCAGCACGGGGUAGCAAUACCCCGGUGGCGACCGGCGCACGGGUGAGUAACACGUGUGCAACCAACCCCGUUACCGGGAGAUAACCCGCGGAAACGUGGACUAACACCCCAUAAUACCUUUCCCCCGCAUGGGGGGGAGUUUAAAACCCCGGUGGUACGGGACGGGCACGCGCGACAUUAGGUAGUUGGCGGGGUAACGGCCCACCAAGCCGACGAUGUCUAGGGGUUCUGAGAGGAAGGUCCCCCACACUGGAACUGAGACACGGUCCAGACUCCUACGGGAGGCAGCAGUGAGGAAUAUUGGUCAAUGGGCGAGAGCCUGAACCAGCCAAGUCGCGUGAGGGAAGAAUGGUCUAUGGCCUGUAAACCUCUUUUGUCAAGGAAGAAUAAGCGGCACGAGUGCCACCUUGCCAGUACUUGACGAAUAAGCAUCGGUUAACUCCGUGCCAGCAGCCGCGGUAAUACGGGGGAUGCGAGCGUUAUCCGGAUUUAUUGGGUUUAAAGGGCGCGUAGGCGGGACGGCAAGUCAGCGGUAAAAGACUGCAGCUAAACUGUAGCACGCCGUUGAAACUGUCGACCUGGAGACGAGACGAGGGAGGCGGAACAAGUGAAGUAGCGGUGAAAUGCAUAGAUAUCACUUGGAACCCCGAUAGCGAAGGCAGCUUCCCAGGCUCGAUCUGACGCUGAUGCGCGAGAGCGUGGGUAGCGAACAGGAUUAGAUACCCUGGUAGUCCACGCCGUAAACGAUGCUCACUGGAUCUUGGCGAUACACGGCCAGGGUUCAAGCGAAAGUAUUAAGUGAGCCACCUGGGGAGUACGUCGG
rnacentral:rRNA from 1 species